GCUACGGGACCCUGGCUUGGUCAUGAUUUAUCGAGGCGCGUUCUCACUCUAAGGAAAGAAUAGUUGUUCGAUUGUAGUUCCCCCUGGUGGCCAAAGGCAGAGCGCGGACUGUUGCUGAAAAGAAAGGAAGCGAUUACAGAGCCCUAGGUUUAUAGGACUUGUCCCAGGUUCUACAUCUGAGAAUAAUACUACUGGCUCGCUUUCUGUGGGCUGAAUACCAUGCUGAUUGUGAGAACAUCAGAGCAGCAGUCGGUCACAAUCAGAGAUACACCAGAGUGGGAAGCAAGAUUUGUUUUCCUUGGUGAACCCCUAUUCAGGGCUGCUCGAGUCCCCAUUGCACCUCCUUUUUGCAGAAAUGGCCAUUGGAUGUUAAUCAGCUGUAAAGAAGAGAGCAGAAAGCCAAGGGAAUCUAUAAAAGAGCUUUGCCCUGUAAGCACAGUUGCCUCACCUCUGACCUCCAUAACUGAGAAAGGAUCUGGCUUUGACAAUAUUGUGUGUGAAGUUAGCAGCUUGAAUCACUGCCGUGAGCAAACGCAUUUUCUCUACUGAGAAUGAAUUCUUCUGAACUGCUGAACAAAGAUCUGUGCUCCUGCAUGGUUAUUAUUUAUUUGGAAGAUUGCUAGAGACUCUGAGAAACAUCCCCUGCUCCCCUCCUUGUUUCUGGAAGCUGCAAGCUGUGAAAUUUAGCCUCUGCUCCAUAGGAACAAAACACGUGGAAAGGAGAAACUGGCCAGGCAAGUGGUAUGAAAUGUGAAAACUGCCUACAGAGAUAACGUCAGUCACAAAACAAGGAUGGAAUAAAGAAGGAAGGCCUUAUUUAUUGUCCUGCUUAGUGGCUUGGAGAUGGUGCACAUGACUAAAUUAUUGAUUUUGGAUUGCACCUUUCAGAGAGUGGUGUUUGGGGGCAGGCAAGGCAGAGGGGCUGGACUCUACUAAUUUUGAAGUCUUCUCUGAGUCAGGUGCAGUGAAAUUACUGAAUAGCUGCCAUUGGGUCAUAUUUAGAAGUCUGCACUUCUCUGCCAUUAAUAGCAUGGAGAUUUUUUCAUUAAGCUGUUAAAACUUGUAUCAUUGGGAAUACUGAUGUUCCACUAUCACUACUGCUAAUUCUACUAUCAUCACUACUCAGAUUGAAGUCUUGAUGAAUUUGCCUUAUGGGAAAAUAUAUUCCCACAGGAUAAGUUGGCUGGAAAUAGGGCUCUAUCAAUUCACCCAGACCCAAAGAAACUAUUUAAGUAUUAUUACAAUUGCACAAGUCAUCCCCAGGCCCUGCCUGAUCCCACAGCGCUACAGAAACAGCAUCGCAUGUGGGGAACUCUUUCAUUCUGUCCAUUCACAUCCUAUUCCACUGAGUGCCCUGUGGCUCCUAACUGUCCCAAAUGAAAUACCCACAGGCUGCUGAUUGCCAAACACUGAAAAUGGAAUCAUUUUGAAGGACAAAAACCAAAUUGUUACGUACUUUAACAAUGUACUAUAGUGAACUUAUUUAUUUUGGUAAGCACAUCUCUGGCUCUUAGAAAACACUCAAUAAGUAUUUGUCAAAAAAACUAAAAGCUUCCAUGUGGAAUGAAUGUCAGCACUGCAGCCAGACAUUGUGGAAGCAGCUGCUGUCCCCAUGCCGUCAUUCACUGUUCUCUCCGUGGCUCUUUCCCUACAUGACAGCUCCUGUCGUGUCGUCCCCUCUGCCCGAGCUUGCUAUGACAGCCAGGGUUCAGGGCCUGCUUCAGCUCCCGCCACAUCCUCCCACCACGUCCUCAAGGACACAGGCUCUGCCCCCCGCCCCUCCCUCCCCUCUGGAGCUGUUACUAGAGGCAGGAGUGUGAGAUGGGGAGACAGGACACCCAAGGUUGUCCUCCAGCUCCAGAGUUCUGAUUGCUCAUGUACCACAGGAGGCCUUCUGGACCUCUUCCCCUUUUGUAUCUCCUCCAUAUGUCAUGUUUAAGGUGGCAGCAGCUACUUCUACAUAGGGGACCCAUAGACAGUCCCAGAGAACAGUAUAGAACAGUUUUCCAGGGAAAAUACAAAAUCUCCAAGAAAAAUAAAUAAAAAGAACAAAUCCCAUUGGUUAUUGAAAAAACCCACAGAAUUAAGGGCAUUAGGCCAUAUCUAUCAGAAAGAUAAAAAAUGAAAGGGAAGAGGGAAGGCACAGGGUAAUGUGAAUUCGUAGAACCCACUGGGGGACAAUUAUAAUAUGUUUAAACUCUUUAAGAGAAGAUACUGCUAAUCCAGGAAUUUUAUGUCUAGGAAUUUUCUCCAAAGAACAAAGAAGUCAGACAAGGUGUAUAUAUCUGGAUAUUCAAUAAAGCAAUACUUACAAUAGCAAAACACCCAGGAGUUUGUUUAAAAUUUUUAUUAU